rnacentral:rRNA from 1 species
CGAACGCUGGCGGCAGGCCUAACACAUGCAAGUCGAGCGAGGUAGCAAUACCUAGCGGCGGACGGGUGAGUAACGCGUGGGAACGUACCCUUUGCUACGGAAUAGCCUCGGGAAACUGGGAGUAAUACCGUAUGUGCCCUUCGGGGAAAGAUUUAUCGGCAAAGGAUCGGCCCGCGUUGGAUUAGGUAGUUGGUGGGGUAAUGGCCUACCAAGCCGACGAUCCAUAGCUGGUUUGAGAGGAUGAUCAGCCACACUGGGACUGAGACACGGCCCAGACUCCUACGGGAGGCAGCAGUGGGGAAUCUUAGACAAUGGGCGCAAGCCUGAUCUAGCCAUGCCGCGUGAGCGAUGAAGGCCUUAGGGUUGUAAAGCUCUUUCGUGGGGGAAGAUAAUGACUGUACCCCAAGAAGAAGCCCCGGCUAACUCCGUGCCAGCAGCCGCGGUAAUCUGAUGGCGCGAGG